rnacentral:rRNA from 1 species
AGCGAACGCUGGCGGCAGGCCUAACACAUGCAAGUCGAACGAACCCUUCGGGGUUAGUGGCGGACGGGUGAGUAACACGUGGGAACGUGCCUUUAGGUUCGGAACAACUCAGGGAAACUUGUGCUAAUACCGAAUGUGCCCUUCGGGGGAAAGAUUUAUCGCCUUUAGAGCGGCCCGCGUCUGAUUAGCUAGUUGGUGAGGUAAUGGCUCACCAAGGCUACGAUCAGUAGCUGGUCUGAGAGGAUGACCAGCAACAUUGGGACUGAGACACGGCCCAAACUCCUACGGGAGGCAGCAGAGGAGAAUCUUGCGAAAUGGGCGAAAGCCUGACGCAGCCAUGCCGCGUGGAUGAUGAAGGUCUUAGGAUUGUAAAAUCCUUUCACCGGUGAAGAUAAUGACUGUAGCCGGAGAAGAAGCCCCGGCUAACUUCGUGCCAGCCGCCGCCGUAAAGA